rnacentral:rRNA from 1 species
UGUAUUAGGUAUCGACCCCUGAUGUAGCGAAGCUAACGCGUUAAGCAUCCCGCCUGUGGAGUACGGUCGCAAGAGAUAAAACAUAAAGGAAUUGACGGGGACCCGCACAAGCGGUGGAGCGUGUUGUUUAAUUCGAUGAUAAGCGAAGAACCUUACCCAGGCUUGACAUCCUUGGAAUCUUUCCGAAAGGAAAGAGUGCUUUUAGAGCCAAGUGACAGGUGUUGCAUGGCCGUCGUCAGCUCGUGUCGUGAGAUGUUUGGUUAAGUCCAUCAACGAGCGCAACCCUUGUGAUUAGUUGAAUUUUUCUAAUCAGACUGCCCCUGGUAACAGGGAGGAAGGAGGGGAUGAUGUCAGGUCAGUAUUACCCUUACGCCUGGGGCUACAAACACGCUACAAUGGCCGGUACAAAGGGCUGCCAAGUCGCGAGACGGAGCAAAUCCCAUCAAAGCCGGUCCCAGUUCGGAUUGCAGGCUGAAACUCGCCUGCAUGAAGUCGGAAUCGCUAGUAACGGUAGGUCAGCUAUACUANCCGUGAAUACGUUCCCGGGUCUUGUACACACCGCCCGUCAAACCAUGAAAGUCGCCAAUACCUGACGUGCCAGCUUGCCUGGCCCCAAGGUAGGGGAGAUGAUUGGGGUUAAGUCGUAACCAAGGUACC